ACGUUCGGAUUGUAGUCUGCAACCCGACUACAUGAAGCCGGAAUCGCUAGUAAUCGCGGAUCAGAAUGCCGCGGUGAAUACGUUCCCGGGUCUUGUACACACCGCCCGUCACACCAUGGGAGUCGGAAAUGCCCGAAGUCUGUGACCCAACCGUAAGGAGGGAGCAGCCGAAGGCAGGUCGGAUGACUGGGGUGAAGUCGUAACAAGGUAGC
rnacentral:rRNA from 1 species